GUUGACGUGGCAGAGUGGUUAACGCGAUGGACUAGAAAUCUCCGGGAUCAUCCCGCGCAGGUUCGAAUCCUGCCGACACCG
rnacentral:tRNA from 1 species